AUUGAACGCUGGCGGCAGGCCUAACACAUGCAAGUCGAGCGGAGCGGCGGACGGGUGAGUAAUGCAUAGGAAUCUGCCUGGGAGUGGGGGAUAACGUCCGGAAACGGGCGCUAAUACCGCAUACUCUCAGAUGAGCCUAGGUCGGAUUAGCUAGGUGGUGGGGUAAAGGCCUACCAAGGCGAAGAUCCGUAACUGGUCUGAGCGGAUGAUCAGGCACACGGGAACUGCGACACGGGCCAGACUCCUACGUGAGGCAGCAGUGGGGAAUAUUGGACCAUGGGCUAAAGCCUGAUCCAGCCAUGCCGCGGGUGUGAAUAAGGUCUGCGGAUUGUAAAGCACUUUAAGUUGGGAGGCGUUACCAACAGAAUAAGCACCGGCUAACUUCGGGCCAGCAGCCGCGGUAAUAC
rnacentral:rRNA from 1 species